GUUUUAUGGAGGAUGGUCUCAGAUGGGCGUAGGUAAUACCGUGAAGUCCUGGAGAGCCGUUUUGACCGAUUCGUAGAUCGGUCUGUUACUCUCAUCGGCACAGUAACCAUCGGAAAAAGGUUCGAGACAUUGAUAGCCAGAAUAAUGGGUCGGAGAUGAAUAUUCUCUUUGCCAGCAAUCGUUGAUUUUCCAUAGAGGCGAUAUCGGAGCGCAGUCGCAUAACCUGGGAUUCGACACGAGCGUUCUCUCUCUGUAACUCGGUGAUUUCUGCUUCAAGGGUGUACAGAUCCUCGCCCUGACCGCCACAACCAGCAGGGCCGUUACCGCCGAUACUUCCCUGACCCGCACCCAACGGACCACCUUGUGCCGGACCACCACCGGCAUCCAUCCCUAAAUCGGGAGAGAGAGACAAGCCCCGUUUUAACGCUAGUCGCUCUGACCAUUAACUCAAUCGAAGCUCCAUCCCAUACUAUAUGGUGCUCACGAUAUUCUCACUUGUUGCAAACAAUCUACCAUUUUUCCCCCCUCCCUGACACGCUCAUUACGGGCAUUGAAAUCCACGUUAUUUCCAAUGAAAAAAAAAAAAAAAUAAAUAAAUAAAUAACAAAAAUCUACGGAUAGAAACAUCACCGUGUGCGGAUCGAAUCUAACGCCAUUGACUUGACUUUUUUUUUAUCUCUCACACAGAAAAAAUUAUCCAGAUGGAGAAAAGUUUACUAUUUUUCUUCCUUUUAACACGUCAGCGUUUUCUUCAAAUUAUAUUCCAAACAUAUAAAAAGUAGAUUCGCGGUGAGAAUCGAGUUCAUACUUUACAUCUACAAUUCUGAUUUUUUUUUCCAUUUUUUCAAUGUUGAGCAUAUUCGAAUCCAAUAUGUACUAUUUAACGUGUUAUUGAAUCGCAGUUAUUUGAUGCUCAGUCAAAUUUGAGUAAUGGAAGUUUUCAAUUCGCUUCAGGCGAAAGUCUUUUGUUUUUACAAUAUUGAAAGAAAAUCGAAAAACAGGCUGUAUAUGACAAAUAUCAUUUAAACCACGAUAUUCGAAAAAAUUAAGUUGAUAAUUCUUUAUAAAGGCCAUUGAUAUUCUAGAAGUAUUGUUUACGUAAUGUUCGAAUCGCAUGAAAGUUGAGUUCAACGAUAAUCUGGAGGACUGGAUUGCCCAUUCUUUCCUGUGUAUUAAU